AGUGAACGCUGGCGGUAGGCCUAACACAUGCAAGUCGAACGGCAGCACAGUAAGAGCUUGCUCUUACGGGUGGCGAGUGGCGGACGGGUGAGGAAUACAUCGGAAUCUACUUUUUCGUGGGGGUUAACGUAGGGAAACUUACGCUAAUACCGCAUACGACCUACGGGUGAAAGCAGGGGAUCUUCGGACCUUGCGCGAUUGAAUGAGCCGAUGUCGGAUUAGCUAGUUGGCGGGGUAAAGGCCCACCAAGUCGACGAUCCGUAGCUGGUCUGAGAGGAUGAUCGGCCACACUAGAGCGGAGACACGGUCCAGGCUCCUACGGGAGGCAGCAGUGGGGAAUAUUGGACAAUGGGCGCAAGCCUGGUCCAGCCAUACCGCGUGGGUGAAGAAGGCCUUCGGGUUGUAAAGCCCUUUUGUUGGGAGAGAAAAGCAGCAGGUUAAUACCCCGCUGUUCUGACGGUACCCAAAGAAUAAGCACCGGCUAACUUCGUG
rnacentral:rRNA from 1 species